rnacentral:rRNA from 1 species
AUGCUGAGACUGUGGACAUCAUUAAUGUUGCUGCUGCUCCUUGGGGCAGCGGCAGCUGCAACAGCAGCUACCACGGCGACCACUCGUGGGUGUCAGCCGAGCUGCGGCGGCGUUGAUAUCCCCUACCCCUUCGGCAUCGGCGCCGGCUGCUUCCGCAAGGGCUUCGAGAUCGAGUGCAUCAACGUUGGCCCUGUGCUCGCCGGCACAUCCCUCCGGGUGCUCAAGCUGUCGCUGGAUCCAGAUGAGUCGCAGGUGAUGCUUCCCAUCGGGUGGGAGUGCUACAACGCCUCCGACCCGAGCGACACCUAUGAAAACUGGGACUAUGGAGAGACAACGAUGAACAAUGACGGCGUCUACCGCAUCUCCAACACGCACAACAUGCUCGUCGUCGUCGGCUGCAACACCUUGGGCUUCGCACUCAGCAAACCGACCAAGGGCAGCAACUACAAGUACGCCUACCAGACUGGGUGCGUAUCCUUCUGCAACAACUCGGCCAGCGCGCAGGACGGCCUCUGCGACGGCGUCGGGUGCUGCCACGUCAACAUCCCGCCGGGGCUCACUGACUACUACUUCAACUUCCACGAGUACGACCACUCCGCCAUGAUGGACUACAGCCCGUGCGACUACGCCUUCCUCGUUGACAGGAACAACUACACCUUCCAGCGGUCCGACCUCAAGAUGAACACAAACCAGAUCAUGCCGGUGUGGCUGGACUGGGCCAUUCGCGUAAACGAUUCCAUCUCCGAGGACAUACUAUCAUGCAAGCAAGCGGCCAAGACGGGUCAGUACGCCUGCGCCAGCGCCCACAGCGACUGCGUCAACUCGACCAAUGGACCUGGCUACAACUGCAAGUGCUCCAAAGGCUACGAGGGCAACGCUUACGUCGACGACGGAUGCAUCAAUAUAGAUGAAUGUGCAGAUCCUGCCAAGUAUCCUUGCUAUGGUGUAUGCAAGGACACCCAAGGAUGGUACGGAUGCGAAUGUCCUGCAGGUUAUCGGAGCCAUGACCCAAGAACAGAACCAUGUACUCAACAGUUCGCACUUGCAGCACAAAUCUCCAUAGGUGCAAUUGGUGGUAUUCUUGUCUUGGCAUUUCUGGCAUUCUUUUUUGUUCUUCGCAAAGAGAAGCAGAAGGCCAGAGAUUUUUACCGAAAGAAUGGUGGGCUUACAUUAGAGAAAGCUAGAACUAUUAAGAUUUACACAAGGGACAAUCUGAAACCAAUUUUGAAGAGUAGCAAUCUAAUUGGUAAAGGUGGUUUUGGUGAAGUUUACAAGGGUGUCGUUGAUGGAGCUACUGUCGCAGUAAAGAAACCGAAUGGUCGUAGUGUGCUAGAAAAGGAGCAAUUUCCAAAUGAAGUCAUCAUCCUGUCUCAAGUCAGCCACAAGAACAUUGUAAGGCUUUUAGGUUGUUGCCUCGAAGUGGAUAACCCCAUGCUCGUCUAUGAAUUCAUCUCCAAAGGAAGCUUGGAGGACAAUCUUUAUCGUGCUGACAACGAGGAGCUUCUCGAUUUGGAUGUACGUCUAAGUAUUCUUGAAGAGUCAGCACAAGGUCUAGCUUAUAUGCACUCACAAAUCCAUAACAAAAUCCUGCAUGGUGAUGUUAAACCAGCAAACAUACUCUUGGAUGAGAACUUUUCCCCGAAGAUCGCGGAUUUUGGGAUAUCGAGGUUGCUUGCAAAAGGUAAGUACCACACUGGAAACGUCAUAGGUGACAUGUCUUAUAUGGAUCCUGUGUACCUACAAUCAGGUCGAUUGACCGACAAAAGUGAUGUCUAUAGUUUCGGUGUUGUCAUCUUAGAGCUCAUUAGCAGGAAGAGCGCCACUGACUCUGAAAAUAAUAGCCUAGUGAGGAGCUUCCUAGAGUGUCAACAAAAAGGGGAGAGUAUGACUGAGCUCUUUGAUAAGGAAAUUGCAACAACAGGAGAUUUGGGAUUUCUUAACAAGUUGGCAGAGAUUGCUCUUGAGUGUCUUAACCUUGAUGCAGAUCAAAGACCAUCAAUGACAAAUGUUGCAGGGCGCCUUCUCACAUUGCAUAGGUCCCGUAAUCCUUAG